rnacentral:rRNA from 1 species
GAGUUUGAUCAUGGCUCAGAUUGAACGCUGGCGGCAUGCCUUACACAUGCAAGUCGAACGGCAGCACGGGAGCUUGCUCCUGGGUGGCGAGUGGCGAACGGGUGAGUAAUGCAUCGGAACGUAUCCUGGAGUGGGGGAUAACGUAGCGAAAGUUACGCUAAUACCGCAUAUUCUGUGAGCAGGAAAGCGGGGGACCUUCGGGGCCUCGCGCUCUUGGAGCGGCCGAUGUCGGAUUAGCUAGUUGGUGAGGUAAAGGCUCACCAAGGCGACGAUCCGUAGCAGGUCUGAGAGGAUGAUCUGCCACACUGGAACUGAGACACGGUCCAGAC